GGGCAAGUGACGCAGUGGUAGCGUGUUCGCUUUGCAUGUGUGAUUGCGAGAAGUCCUGGGUUCAAUCCCCAGCUUGUCCA
rnacentral:tRNA from 1 species